ACGCCGCCCGGUCAGCAGCGGUGCUGACGGCGGUGGCCGGUCAGAGCUCUGAGCGGGGCCUGGGCAGCGGCGGGGCCGUAGGACCUCGCGCUGCGUUCGCGGGCUCCGGGGCGGGGGCGGCGGCGGCGAAGCCCCCUCCCCGGGGAGGCGGGGCCUGGGCGAGCUCCCCAGCCGGGGAGCGGCGGCGGCUGGGAAGGAUGCAUCAGAAGCUGCUGAAGAGCGCUCAUUACAUCGAGCUGGGCAGCUACCAGUACUGGCCAGUCCUGGUGCCCCGCGGCAUCCGUCUCUACACCUACGAACAGAUCCCCGUGUCCCUCAAGGACAACCCGUACAUCACCGACGGCUACCGGGCCUACCUGCCCUCCAGGCUGUGUAUCAAAAGUUUGUUUAUUUUAUCUAAUGAGACGGUAAAUAUCUGGAGUCAUUUGCUGGGUUUCUUUCUCUUCUUUACACUGGGAAUAUAUGACAUGACAUCAGUGUUACCUUCGGCAAGUGCAUCCAGAGAAGAUUUUGUAAUUUGUUCUAUUUGUCUUUUCUGCUUCCAGGUCUGUAUGCUUUGCUCUGUGGGCUAUCAUCUUUUUUCUUGCCAUCGAUCAGAAAAAACCUGUCGAAGAUGGAUGGCAUUAGAUUAUGCAGGAAUUUCUAUUGGAAUACUGGGCUGCUAUGUCUCUGGUGUAUUUUAUGCUUUUUAUUGUAAUAACUACUGGCGUCAAGUGUACUUGAUCACAGUGCUUGCCAUGAUCCUGGCAGUGUUCUUCGCACAGAUUCAUCCCAAUUACCUCACCCAGCAGUGGCAGAGGCUCCGUUCUAUCAUCUUCUGUUCUGUUUCGGGAUAUGGAGUGAUCCCAACUCUUCACUGGGUUUGGCUCAAUGGAGGAAUCGGUGCUCCUAUUGUACAGGACUUUGCACCCCGUGUAAUUGUGAUGUAUGUGAUUGCUCUUCUUGCUUUCCUAUUCUACAUUUCCAAAGUUCCAGAACGGUACUUUCCAGCUCAUUUCCUCAUCUGAGCAUGGAGAUACUACUUUCCCUCAUGGGGUUAUUGUGGGGAUUACGUGUGAAAAUGUACAAGAACCAUUCAGCAAGGUUCCUCACAAGAAGUAAGCACUCAAUACACGUUAGCAGUUGUUACUAUGAUGACGUCCCUCCACCUCAGUCCCGACAACUGAACUACCUCGGAUCAAGCCACCAAAUAUGGCACAUCCUUGCAGUAGUGAUGUUAUAUUGGUGGCAUCAGUCAACAGUGUAUGUCAUGCAGUACAGACAUAGCAAGCCUUGCCCUGACUAUGUUUCACAUUUGUGAAUUCAGGUAUGGCCACCUGCUGUAUUCAGUUAUUAAGCAAUAUGUAAUGGGGAGUUGUAUACCCCACUGUUUCUAAGA